UCCCUCCUGGUUUCUGGACCCGUGGCGC
rnacentral:piRNA from 1 species